GCUCUGGAUAGCUCACUGGUAGAGCUGCUACUUUCAAAAGUAAUCAGUCGUGUGUUCAAUCCUCACCUAGAGUA